rnacentral:rRNA from 1 species
CACGUAGGCGGGUCGCUAAGUCGGGGGUGAAAUCCUGGGGCUCAACCUCAGAACUGCCUUCGAUACUGGCGACCUUGAGUACGGGAGAGGUGAGUGGAAUUCCCAGUGUAGAGGUGAAAUUCGUAGAUAUUGGGAAGAACACCAGUGGCGAAGGCGGCUCACUGGCCCGUAACUGACGCUGAGGUGCGAAAGCGUGGGGAGCAAACA